GUGGGGAAUCUUAGACAAUGGGGGAAACCCUGAUCUAGCCAUGCCGCGUGAGCGAUGAAGGCCUUAGGGUUGUAAAGCUCUUUCAGCUGGGAAGAUAAUGACGGUACCAGCAGAAGAAGCCCCGGCUAACUCCGUGCCAGCAGCCGCGGUAAUACGGAGGGGGCUAGAGUUGUUCGGAAUUACUGGGCGUAAAGCGCGCGUAGGCGGACCAGAAAGUUGGAGGUGAAAUCCCAGGGCUCAACCUUGGAACUGCCUUCAAAACUCCUGGUCUGGAGUUCGAGAGAGGUGAGUGGAAUUCCGAGUGUAGAGGUGAAAUUCGUAGAUAUUCGGAGGAACACCAGUGGCGAAGGCGGCUCACUGGCUCGAUACUGACGCUGAGGUGCGAAAGCGUGGGGAGCAAACAGGAUUAGAAACCCGGGUAGUCC
rnacentral:rRNA from 1 species